rnacentral:rRNA from 1 species
GGCUAACGCUGGCGGCGUGUCUUAGCCAUGCAAGUCGAGCGGACUUAUGGGGUAACUUAUAAGUCAGCGGCGGACGGCGGAGUAACACGUAGCUAACCUACCCUCUGGACGGGGAUAACCUACCGAAAGGUGGGCUAAUACCCGAUGUAGUCAUCCUGGUAUAGGGGUGAUGAAAGGUGGGCUUCUGUUUACAAGCUCAUGCUGGAGGAGGGGGCUGCGGCCUAUCAGGUAGUUGGUAGGGUAAUAGCCUACCAAGCCGAUGACGGGUAGCCGGCCUGAGAGGGUGACCGGCCCGAGGGGCACUGAGAUACGGGUCCCACUCCUACGGGAGGCAGCAGGCUAGAAAUUUGGGCAAUGGGGGAAACCCUGACCCAGUGACGCCGCGUGCAGGAAGGAGCCCUUCGGGGUGUAAACUGCUGUCGUGUAGGGAGAAGGGUACUAAGGUGAACAAUCUUAGUACUUGACGGUACUACAGGAGGAAGCCCAGGCUAACCUCGUG